AUUGAACGCUGGCGGCAGGCCUAACACAUGCAAGUCGAACGAGUGGCGGACGGGUGAGUAAUGUCUAGGAAACUGCCUGAUGGCGGGGGAUCACUACUGGAAACGGUAGCUAAUACCGCCUACCAUCGGAUGUGCCCAGAUGGGAUUGGCUAGUCGGUGGGGGAAAGGCUAACCACGGAGACGAUCCCUAGCUGGUCUGAGAGGAUGAGAAGCCACACGGGACCUGAGACACGGUCCAGACUCAUACGGGAGGCAGCAGUGGGGAAUAGGGAACAAUGGGCGCAAGCCGGAUGCAGCCAUGCCGCGUGUAUGAAGAAGGCCUUCGGGUUGUAAAGUACUUUCAGCGGGGAGGCGUUACCCGCAGAAGAAGCACCGGCUAACUCCGUGCCAGCAGCCGCGGUAAUUC
rnacentral:rRNA from 1 species